rnacentral:rRNA from 1 species
CCUACGGGAGGCAGCAGUGAGGAAUAUUGGUCAAUGGACGAGAGUCUGAACCAGCCAAGUAGCGUGAAGGAUGACUGCCCUAUGGGUUGUAAACUUCUUUUAUAUGGGAAUAAAACGUUCCACGUGUGGGAUUUUGUAUGUACUAUAUGAAUAAGGAUCGGCUAACUCCGUGCCAGCAGCCGCGGUAAUACGGAGGAUCCGAGCGUUAUCCGGAUUUAUUGGGUUUAAAGGGAGCGUAGGUGGGUUGUUAAGUCAGUUGUGAAAGUUUGCGGCUCAACCGUAAAAUUGCAGUUGAUACUGGCAGUCUUGAGUACAGUAGAGGUGGGCGGAAUUCGUGGUGUAGCGGUGAAAUGCUUAGAUAUCACGAAGAACUCCGAUUGCGAAGGCAGUUCACUAGACUGCAACUGACACUGAGGCUCGAAAGUGUGGGUAUCAAACAGGAUUAGAUACCCUAGUAGUC